rnacentral:rRNA from 1 species
GACGAACGCUGGCGGCGUGCUUAACACAUGCAAGUCGAACGGAAAGGCCCUGCUUUUGUGGGGUGCUCGAGUGGCGAACGGGUGAGUAACACGUGAGUAACCUGCCCUUGACUUUGGGAUAACUUCAGGAAACUGGGGCUAAUACCGGAUAGGAGCUCCUGCUGCAUGGUGGGGGUUGGAAAGUUUCGGCGGUUGGGGAUGGACUCGCGGCUUAUCAGCUUGUUGGUGGGGUAGUGGCUUACCAAGGCUUUGACGGGUAGCCGGCCUGAGAGGGUGACCGGCCCCAUUGGGACUGGGAUGCGGCCCGGACUCCUACGGGAGGCAGCAGUGGGGAAUAUUGCACAAUGGUCGGAACCCUGAUGCGGCAACGCCGCGUGCGGGAUGACGGCCUUCGGGUUGUAAACCGCUUUCGCCUGUGACGAAGCGUGAGUGACGGUAAUGGGUAAAGAAGCACCGGCUAACUACGUG